UCGAUUCUGAGCUGGACUGGUUCAUCUCCAACGAACCUAAUGAUGAAGGAUCCAGACCUGUACCCAACGACAGUGACUGCACUUCAGAUGAGGUCCAGACGUUCAGGACCCGGUCGCUGCAAAGGUUGUUCUGCACUGUCGACUCUCAAAUCUGCAAGUGAUCAAUGGUUGGUGUUUUGCAUCGUCUUGAGGAAGGACGUCACCUGGAAGCCAUCAUAGCCGUGAAGGAAUUCACUGAGUCGUGAUGAUUCAGUGACUGCGGUGGUCUCGUUGAAGGUAAGCUCUUGAUGCACCUUUUGAGGCAAAUGGCCUUUAUUCCCACACCUGCUGAAAAUGAUGAGACAUUUAUACAUUCGUGGAAUUUCGUUCGUCUGAACUCCUGUUGAGAAAUCGACUAGCUGACAUCGGUGAAGGUUAAACCGUGGAUAGUUUUCUUAGUGAAGCUUCUGUGCAGUAAAUUAAUUUCUUCUCUUGCCAACAAUUUCUUCAGUGAUGGCUUUGGCAUGAUUGCGGUGGUCUCGUUUAAGGUGAGCUAUAAAUACACCUUUAGAGGCCAACACACCUGCUGAAACUGAUGAGAUGUCUCGUUCGUCUGAACUAAUGUUGAGAAAUUGACUCUCUGACAUCAGCGAAGGUCAAACGUGGAUAGUUUUGUCUCUCAGUGCUCAGACCUGACUGUAGUCUGUUGCAGGUGCCUGGCUUUGGAAGAGGCUGCCAUCUUAACAACCACGCUCUUCGUCCAGCCAUUAGGACGAGCUGCUUCUGAGAAGUCAACCUCUAACCGGACCGGAGUACAAAUUCAUCGGGCUGACGUUGACUUUUUGCUGACCUCUUCAGUGUGGGCAACAGGACACCUGGGACUGCUGCAGACCUGGAUUAACUAACCAGGAUUGGUGUCGCUGGCUUACUCGUACAGUUUGGGAACCGCAGAGACUCUUAACUGCUGCAGAGUCCAUCUGGAUCUACUGCCAACUGCUUGGGGCUUUAUGUUUCCGGCCAGAAAUUUGACGUCUUCAUACGAGUCGUUUAUCUCCUGCUGCAAGACGUGAUUUAUUUUUUAUGUAUAUUUUGCAGUAACUGGAAAAGACGAUGUCAAAUAAAAGUUUGCUCUCAAAAGUGUGUGAUUGUUACCCCAAACAAGAAAAGUAAAGUUCUAAACUGGUUGAGAAAAUCAAAGUUGUAUUUUUCAUGACAUGGUGCUCUUUAUAGUGAAACCUCUUGCCAACCUCAAAGAUUACUUUACAUAAAUUGUUAGAAAAACGAUGUUUUUAAUGUACAACAUUAAUCGUACAGAUUGAUAAAUUUUUCUGUUUAAAAUUUUUAUGCAUUGGGUCUGAGAAUUCAGAGGUUGGCUGAGCAGCUUACAACUAUGUAUUAUAUGUAUUGGGAUAAUCAAGUUGACAUUUGCAGUAAAUUCUGAGAAUAUUCAAUGUGCCAAAAAUCAGUUUUGCAUCGAUGCUAUGCCAUGACCAACUUACCAAAACCCUGAUUGCAACUUUCUGUACCUCCAGUUGUAUGGAGGACUCAAAAUGACUUAAGUAUAAAUAAAUACAGGAAUAAAUAAAUGUAUAAAUACAGAAAUUAAUAAAUAUAAGUUAUAACUCAACAGGACAUCAUUAAAUAAAUGUAUUUCUUCAUAUCUCUA